CCUACGGGCGGCUGCAGUGAGGAAUAUUGGUCAAUGGACGCAAGUCUGAACCAGCCAAGUAGCGUGCAGGAUGACGGCCCUCCGGGUUGUAAACUGCUUGUAGUUGGGAAUAAAAGGGGGCUCGUGAGCCCCGUAUUGUAUGUACCAUCAGAAAAAGGACCGGCUAAUUCCGUGCCAGCAGCCGCGGCAAUACGGAAGGUUCGGGCGUUAUCCGGAUUUAUUGGGUUUAAAGGGAGCGUAGGCCGGCUUUUAAGUCAGCUGUGAAAGUCCGCGGCUCAACCGUGGAAUUGCAGUUGAAACUGGAGGCCUUGAGUGCACACAGGGCUGCCAGAAUUCAAGGUGUAGCGGUGAAAUGCUUAGAUAUCAUGAGGAACUCCGAUUGCGAAGGCAGUUCACUGGACUGCAACUGACACUGAGGCUCGAAAGUGUGGGUAUCAAACAGGAUUAGAUACCCUUGUAGUC
rnacentral:rRNA from 1 species